AAGAGAUGAUGUCACCACAAGGAGAAUUAUAGAAUCACAAAUGGACAUAGAUCUGGAAAGAUUGCCUGGCUUCUCUCCCUGUAGAACAGAACUAUGAAUCUCUUUUCUGGAAGCGUGUUCCAACACCAAGUGAGAAGAAGCAGAAGAAAGUCAGGAGGGCCCCAGUGAGCCAGAUACAUGGGUACCUAAGGAACAAAGGAAGAAGAUGCCAAUAGAUCCAGUUAUGAAGAACAAAUGCUCAGUUAAGUGCUGUGACCUAGAAUCCAGUAUCACAGAGCAUCCCUGAGGCCAACUGGGAUUUUCAAGGUUCAGGAGCAUGUAGGCAUAACAAAGGACAAACAUGAUAUACUGUAA
rnacentral:lncRNA from 1 species